CUGUCUCUCGGGACAGUUGGCUUUUGUUACCCUCAUUCUCUGUUUUUGUGUACCGCUGUUUGUUUCCUUGGUGGGCUUGCCCGCCAUUGGAAUCCCCUUACAAACCCUUUGCAGUUGCAAUCAACGUCUGAUAAAUCAAUAGUUACAACUUUUAACAAUGGAUCUCUUGGUUCUGGCAUCGAUGAAGAACGCAGCGAAAUGCGAUAAGUAGUGUGAAUUGCAGAAUUCAGUGAAUCAUCGAAUCUUUGAACGCACAUUGCGCCCCUUGGUAUUCCAGGGGGCAUGCCUGUUCGAGCGUCAUUUGUACCCUCAAGCUAUGCUUGGUGUUGGGUGAUUGUCUGGCCUUUGUGCCUAGACUCGCCUCAAAGUAAUUGGCAGCCAAUGUUGAAGUAGGAGCACGCAGCACAUUUUGCGAGCGAGUACCCAAACUACGGCGCCCAUAAGCACUUCUCACUUUUGACCUCGGAUCAGGUAGGGAUACCCGCUGAACUUAAGCAUAUCAAUAA
rnacentral:rRNA from 1 species